GGUUUGUUACCCAGCGGGUCUUGAUCCACAUAAAACAUUUUGCCCCUUUUAUGACAUAUUGUGCAUAUAAAUAUUUCUCGCGUGGUUAAAUAUCUUUUGUUCUUCUUGUUGUGCUCCCUUCCUCCCUCUCUCUCCCUUUUUGUGUGUUUAUGCUUCCCCUCUACUCUCUCAUGGUAUGCUUAAUUAUUGUAGAAGAUUUAAUGAUUAAUGUUUUUGAAAAUUUGAAUUCUUGCUAAGAAAUGGUUAAUAACUCAUUGUGCAUGUAUCCAUGGAUAUUGUUGGAUUCCAUUCUGUUUCAAAUUA
rnacentral:misc_RNA from 1 species